AAAAAAAAACUGGAUUUGUUUAUCAAUGUAUAACCAGCUGUGUGGGAGAUGUCUUCUCUGCCACCCCUGGCCUUUUCCUGGUGCCUCCACCAUGAACCUGGUGAUGGAUGAGGAAAGGAGUCUUUCCUGCCUUGUGGGUGGAAAAGUUGACCCCACUUGUUGACGAGAGGAGUCCCAAAGUCACGUUGCAGUUGUGAGAGAAGAGUUGAGACAUCCACUUUAGAAUAAUUCACAUCUUUCCUCUUUUUACCUGUAAGCACUACUGUGUUUUAGACCCGUGUUUUAUCACUUUUGCUGGGAUGCUAAGGGCAAUUACCUCCUACCUGGUCUCCCCAACAUGUACCUUCCACAUGGAUGUAAGGGCAAUGUAUUUAAAAUGAAAACCUAUUCUUUAUAUUCCAUUGCUCCACACCCUUCUAGCUUCCCUAUAGAAGCAAGCCCUUCAACCUAGGAAGCUCUUCCUCAUCUGUUAAACUUUCCAACCUAUUUACACAGCACUUUUUAAAAAAAACUAGUUGCUCCCAGCUCUCUUGCCCUGCUCUUGGACAUGUAUGCAAGCCAUGGUGCUGUGACCAUUCCCUCGGUUGUAUCCUUAUUUUUUUUUUCUUGAGGAUACCUUCCAGUUCUCUAGGAUCAGGCGUUACCUCCCCAACCCAAUUUACAACAUGAUUUCAAACUACCUUAGAAGUUUUCUUUCUCAUUUCUGACCACUGUGCCUCAUAGCCAUGAUGCAUUAAAUGGAAACACAGUUCUCAAUACACAGACUGUUGUAAAAAUUAAAUGAUACUGGAAUAUGUGAAGUGCUUAUAACAAUACCAGCACACAGGGGCUGCUCAAAAGACUUUAGGUAUUAUUAUUGUUAAUGCUAGUCACGUAUACCUUAUAUUUCUGGAAAAUUGCAAUAAUUCUGAAAAGUGUCUCAUCUCAAUAUCUUUGUUAAUAUUCUUUGCUCUCCUUGAAAUUUUCUAUCCCAAUUUCUGUCUGUACCCACUUUCUCUAGGCCUCAAAGUCUAUUUUAAAUUUCACAAAUUCUUCAAUGAAAAUAUGUUUCUUCUCCAAACUUUAAACUUUGUUUAUAGACCCUCUCAGCAUCUGCAUAUUCAGUUCAUCUUAUUUAUGGAAUCUUUGAAAAUUAAGAUUAUAUUACAUAUUCUUAUUACUGUAAUUCCCAAUAUCAUCUUUAUUCAAGAAAGUUGAUACUCAUUGUCUCAA